AUCUGUGUGUCCAUAAGCUAUGUUUGUAAGACCAGCCAAUGGGACUGCACCUGCUGCCAAUGAGUGUGUCGUUGUGCCCGAUGAAUUGGUAUAUAGCAGGGGUGGAGCCAACCUGAUGAUAGAGCCUAAGUAAAAAUAAAUAAAGUCUGACUUACGUUUGCCCAUGGAAAUAGAGGAUUAGUUCGUUUCCCUUCAAGAAUCAAUAGUUGCAAUACCUUGAAGAAUAAUGAAGAAAUUAUGAUGUGUACGGAUUAGUGAAAGGCAAUGGAACCUGUGAUGGCUUGCUGAGAGCAGGAGAAAAACAUUUAUAGAGCCCCUUACAGGUGGCUGUAUGAUUAUACUUUUGCUUGGAUACUAUAUGAAGAAACUUAAAAAUGUAUAUUUAAAUUUGGCGCACCAUCUUUCUUCUCUUUUCUUAUACUUAACAGUUCAGGAAAUCAUUUUUCCUUUUUAUAUGGUCAUACUUUGUCCAUGACAGCAGGUAUGAUUUGUGUC